CACGUAGGGGGCGAGCGUUAUUCGGAAUUAUUGGGCGUAAAGGGCGCGUAGGCGGCUUGACAAGUCAGGGGUGAAAUCCCUCGGCUCAACCGAGGAACUGCCUCUGAAACUGUCAAGCUUGAGGCCGGGAGAGGGUGGUGGAAUUCCCAGUGUAGCGGUGAAAUGCGUAGAUAUUGGGAGGAACACCAGUGGCGAAGGCGGCCACCUGGACCGGUUCUGACGCUGAGGCGCGAAAGUGUGGGGAGCAAACAGG
rnacentral:rRNA from 1 species